rnacentral:rRNA from 1 species
ACCAGACUCCUACGGGAGGCAGCAGUGGGGGAUAUUGCACAAUGGGGGAAACCCUGAUGCAGCAACGCCGCGUGAGUGAAGAAGUAUUUCGGUAUGUAAAGCUCUAUCAGCAGGGAAGAGAAUGACGGUACCUGACUAAGAAGCCCCGGCUAACUACGUGCCAGCAGCCGCGGUAAUACGUAGGGGGCGAGCGUUAUCCGGAUUUACUGGGUGUAAAGGGAGCGUAGACGGCUGGUCAAGUCUGAAGUGAAAGCCCGGGGCUUAACCCCGGAACGGCUUUGGAAACUGAGCAGCUAGAGUGCUGGAGAGGUAAGCGGAAUUCCUAGUGUAGCGGUGAAAUGCGUAGAUAUUAGGAGGAACACCAGUGGCGAAGGCGGCUUACUGGACAGUAACUGACGUUGAGGCUCGAAAGCGUGGGGAGCAAACAGGAUUAGAUACCCCAGUAA